UUCCAUACCUAGAAAUACAGGCAAAGUGUUUUAUUUGAGCAUCAGUUUAAACUACAAGCAGUUUGUUUAAUCUGGUUUGCUAGCACUACCCACAAAUCCACUCAUCUGCCCUCACUUCUCCCAUCCACCCUCCUGACACCCCGUUUUCCCUCCUAGCUAAGAAGAGAAGCCAUGUACAACUUUCUCCAGAAACAUCCUCAGUGACCUCUCUUCCCACCCUUUCCCUAGAAUCAGGACACAGCACUCUGGGUUGGGACACACCCAGCUCCUAUGGCCUCUGGGAGACAAGGCUGCAAGUUGAUUCAUGACUGCCUGAGUUUGCAUGGAAACCCCAGCUAGAAUGCUUUUUAGACCAGCUUCUGGCAACAUGAGAUGUGCAACUCAGGAGUUUCAAACAGAAUUCAUUUAUUUUUACUUUAGUCCUGUCCCUUCCCAAGGCAAGGACUCUGGAUUUUCAAAAGCCAGUUUUUUUUUUUUUUUUUUAAGUUCAUAGAGAGUUUGUUAGCCCCAAGAACUGUUUAUUUCCAUACUCCUGAAACUUAAACUGAAAUUCUCUCUCUAUUCAACCCAAUCCUGGUAGAAUCGUUCUUCUUCCUGAAGAACUUGUAUGUACUGCACCAGUAAGACCCUUUGCCUACUGUCUGUAUAGUCAAUGACGUUUCAUGGGCCUGGAGAUGAAAAUGUUUGUCAUUUUUAUGAAUUAUAGUUAAAUCUCGCAAGUGCUUCUUUUUUCUUUUUCUGGUACCGAAACAUUUUUUGAAUCAUACUAAACUCUCAGUUUCUUUGUUUCGAUAGCAAAAAUGGAACAAAAGAACUUAAAAUACCAUUUUGCAGGUUUGGUUAGUAUACUUUGAUAAAUUGCAAGCUUUCUGAGGGUAGGGCGCUUCCCUGUGCUGUUCCUGAUCGUAUCCCCAGCACCUAACACAGUGUGUGUGUCUCAUUGCAGGUGCUCAAUCAGUCUUUGUUGAAUAAAUUAAUAAGCAAUGAACACACAGAAAGCCUCAGAAGCCAGGACUAGUGGAAAGCAGAACACAAUAUGGGACUCCACAAUAUGAAAAUUAUAAGGUUUAACCCCAGGGGGUCAUAAUGUUAGGACUUACAACAGGAGGGACUCCCCCACCACACAACCCCCAGCUCCUAGCCUAAGUUUUGUGCCGUCAGAGUAGCGGUGGUGAAAAUGUGGGUAACGUGCUCUGCACAGAUGUCCCCAGAUGGUCUUUUAUGUUUGGUUUUCAUGGCUAAAGAACUGGCAGAGAUCUGGAGCACUUUUCCUUAAGUCCUUCUCAGAAAUCAUACGAAGGAAAACAAAUUGAAGAGUGAGUAUGUCUCUCAGGAGGAGGAACAUGGUUGAAGGGGAGAAGGUACAACAUGCCUUCGUUGUUGGGUAACCAAGGAAACAAAAAAACAGCACAGAUUCCGCUCAAACUGCACGUAUGUCUUGAAGCCCUGCUCUGUCCGUGUUCCCUCCCCUGUGGAGAAGCUAUCAGGGACUAAUAGCAGUUUGCUUUUCUUUUUAAGGUUUAUUUUUUCCAAAGCACUAUCCUGCAGAUGGGUUGACUUGGCAGCAACGCUGGAAUCUUCCAAAGCGCGGGUGGAGAAUGGGGUUACUCAUUGACCUAGAGAGGGAAAAUGGCUUCCCACUUACUUUGGUUUGGCAGCUGUGAGGUACAGAGGAAAAUUACACAGCUGUAAAUAAUGUUUGCAAGAACCAGAGAUAAAAUUUCCCCACAAAGGACGGGAAGAAACCUAUCACAAAGCUGAGGUAGAACACACUUUUGGGGCCAGAGGGGACAAGGCUGCAGAGCGCUGAGGGAGUCAGUCACAUGGCCUUCAUGCGGUGGGGGCGGGGAGCACAGGCUCCACCAGGGGGCGGUGCUGGGACAUCCCUAGGCCUGGGCGGGCCUGGGCGGGAAUGACCUGCAUGGGCAGCUGGAGGAGAAGAGGUGCAGAUUUCUGCUCACACAGACCUCUCCUUUCUCCCCGCUUGCCUACUUUCUUUCUCUGUCCUCACCCCAACCUUUUGCUUUUGAAAAGACUCAUUUCUGGUCUUACAAAAUGUACCUUUAGUAAGACUGGUCACAUAUACUAAAAUUGGGAGAAAGUCUUCGCUUAAGUACAGAAAUUAGUUCAGCUGUGAAUGGUGUCCCCCACUCCCCAAAAUCCUACGUUAAUGUGCUUAACCCUCAGUGCCUCUGACUGGAAGAUAAUACCAAGGGUGUGGCUGGACAGCCAUGUGCUAACAAAAUUAGGUAUGUGACUCACGGAUCCAAUCAACCUCGGCAGCAGAAGCCAGAAAAAGAGGGGUGGCUACCUGUAAAAGAUCCGUGGUGUGCCCUCUUGUCUGACUGCUUGGAUCCCCAUGACUUGCAUAGGAAGCCGGUUCCCACACAGCUAGAGAACAAUUUGGCUUCAGGAUUACUCACACCCUGAGUCUCACGCCUACCCAAUUUUUAUGAUAUUAAAGAUCUUUCAUAUGACAGCCACUGGUGAGUCAAGGUGGCCGGAGCAUCACACACUGCUUAGAGCUCUAGCAGAAUGUCAGUAAUACCUCUCCCAUGUGACUGCACCCACAGAGAAAGCGGAGAUCUGAGUGACUUUAAAGGAGACUGGUGACAUUUAAUAAUGUAUCUAUUUAAUUUGGGGUCCCUUUAGCUAAGGCAGUAUUGUGUUGUGAUAAUGACAAAUUUCCCUAAUAUAUAUAUUUUUGUUAACACUAUAUUUUUUCCUAUAAAAUUUUAUACACAUGCCUCUUUCCUCUUUAGAUUUGGAUGUUUUACUAGCAAAUAAGUCUAAGUGACUAGUAAACCUUUCGGGUAACUGUCAGCAGCUCUUAAAUUCAUACUGUAGUUAUAAAAUGGAACUCUUCAUAGGAGAUCCUGUGUGAAGGCUGAAAGAAAAGGCUCCAGUGGAAUUUUCCCUCAGUUUCUGCAUAUACUCUUGUUGGCAAAGGAGACAAUAUGGCAUUGGGCAACCACCUGAGAAUAAGACCUGGGAGAGUAUAUGCCAGAUACCCUGCCAUAUGGCCUUCCAAGUAGACACCAACAAUCAUGCCAUAGGCUGGCACAACCAUCCAUAGCCUGGCAGAAGUAUUUUUGACUCUGGAAAUAGUAACAUCAUGAAUCGCCAUUGCUUUCAAAAGUUUAAUUAGAAUAUCGGCUCCAUUGGCUUAGUCCUGACAUGACUGCUUACAGCUGUUUUCCAAAACGUUCUUGAGUUUAUUCUUUAUAAAAUGUUGGCAAUUGUGAAGAUUAAAUAAAAUACAGACAACUCUAUUG